AUGAGCAGUCCACCGCAGUACGCAGAUGUCUCCUCCCUCCUGGCAGCUGCGGACGUCCACCAGCCGCCGCUCGACGGCCGCGUGGCCAUCGUGACCGGUGGCGCUGGCGGCAUUGGCGCCGCUGUCACCGCGCACCUCGCAUCCCUCGGCGCUCGCGUCGUCGUCGGCUACAUCGGCGACUCGGCACCCGCGGACCAGCUGGUCGCAUCCCUCAACGCGGCCGCCGCAGGCAGCUCCGCGCCUCGCGCGGUCGCGGUGUGCGCCGACGUGUCGGACCCCGUGCAGGUGGAGCGUCUGUUCGACGCGGCGCAGGCGGCGUUCGGGCGCGACCUCCACAUCGUGGUGGUGGCCGCCGGGUUCCAGGACGCCGCGUACCCGGCCAUCGCGGACACCGAGCCGGAGCAGUGGGACCGCGCCUUCGGAGUCAACGCGCGCGGCACGUUCCUGUGCUGCCGGCAGGCGGCCCGGCGGCUCGUCAGAGGCGGCGGCGGGCGGAUAGUCACCUUUUCGUCGUCGAACGUCGCGUCGCUCCGGCCAGGGUAUGGCGCGUACGUGGCGACCAAGGCAGCCGUGGAGGCCAUGACCAAGGUGCUGGCCAAGGAGCUCGCCGGGACGGGCAUCACGGCCAACAGCGUGGCGCCGGGGCCGGUCGCCACGCCCAUGUUCUACGCCGGGAAGUCCGAGGAGCGCGUGAGGGCCGUCGCCAGCGAGUGCCCCAUGAAGCGCAUCGGCGAGCCAGCGGACGUGGCGCCGGUGGUCGGCUUUCUCUGUAGUGACGCCGCCGGGUGGAUUAACGGCCAGGUGAUUCGGGUCAAUGGUGGGUACGUGUAG
rnacentral:rRNA from 1 species